AAAAGAGAGGGGAUAUAUCAACAUGACACGGUAGGUAAUUGAAAUCUUCAUGUUCACUUUAGGUACGAAUUGCAACAGAACUUGAUUACUCUAGGAAGACGACCAUCCUUCAAUAAUAUGUGCACAAAUGAAAAAUUAUAAACCAAAUCAUGGAGAAAUAAAUGGCCCGACUCAAAAUUAUUUAAAUAUUUUGGUUCAUAACCAAUUCACCACUUCAUCAAGGUUUAGCAAUGUGCAUGUGGAGACGGCAACAUCUCCAGGUGAAGCUAUCGGCCAUGACAGUAAGGCAAUAGGUAGUGCAUGUGGGGGGCGGGAUUAUCAUGCUUCAACCUGCGGGUUAAUCGAGAGUAGACGCAUAUUAGGGCAUAAUCUGGUGUGUGGUUAAUUACAUAGAGACACUUCAACUCCACAAAGCAGAAAAAAUCAAAACAAACUACAGAAGCAAGGGGGGAUAUUGGCUGGCAUACCAUAUGUUGAUCAAUACAUACAUCUUGUGGCAUGGCUGCAUGCGUAUAGUAGGCGAAAAGGCAGAGCCAGGGCGAGGCAGUUACACUCCCGGCAUAGACAUUGAUGACUCGAUUGUUGGCAGCAAUGCAGCGUCGAUCUUCAGUGGCGUCAGACAAUUAGAUCAUUCGUAUUUCCAUAGCCACGGAUAAAAAGAUCAGAUGAGGAAAUUAGAGAAAAAAUCUGAUUAUAGAUCAGAUGCAAUCUAUCAAACAGAACAACAAAAACUGAUGGAGAGAAAACAUACAGUUCCACGAAGAACCUCGGAG
rnacentral:lncRNA from 1 species